rnacentral:rRNA from 1 species
AAUUGGAGGGCAAGUCUGGUGCCAGCAGCCGCGGUAAUUCCAGCUCCAAUAGCGUAUAUUAAAGUUGUUGCAGUUAAAAAGCUCGUAGUUGAAUUUCGGGAUCAAUAUUUCGGUCAUGCCGUUGGUAUGCACUGUUAUCAUUGAUUUCUCACCUUCUAAAGAACCGUAAUGCCAUUAAUUUGGUGUUACGGGGAAUUAGGACUGUUACCUUGAAAAAAUUAGAGUGUUUAAAGCAGGCUCACGCUUGAAUACAUUAGCAUGGAAUAAUGAAAUAGGACAUCCGAUUCUAUUUUGCUGGUUUCUAGGAUCGAUGUAAUGAUUAAUAGGGAUAGUUGGGGGCAUUAGUAUUCAAUUGUCAGAGGUGAAAUUCUUGGAUUUAUUGAAGACUAACUACUGCGAAAGCAUUUGCCAAGGAUGUUUUCAUUAAUCAAGAACGAAAGUUAGGGGAUCGAAGACGAUCAGAUACCGUCGUAGUCUUAACCAUAAACUAUGCCGACUAGGGAUCGGAUGAUGUUAAUUUUUUAAUGACUCAUUCGGCGCCUUACGGGAAACCAAAGUGU